rnacentral:rRNA from 1 species
UACUCGAGUGGCGAACGGGUGAGUAACACGUGGGUGAUCUGCCCUGCACUCUGGGAUAAGCCUGGGAAACUGGGUCUAAUACCGGAUAGGACCAUGCUUUAGUGUGUGUGGUGGAAAGUUUUUUCGGUGUAGGAUGAGCCCGCGGCCUAUCAGCUUGUUGGCGGGGUAAUGGCCUACCAAGGCGGCGACGGGUAGCCGGACUGGGAGGUUGGUCGGCCACAUUGGGACUGAGAUACGGCCCAG